rnacentral:rRNA from 1 species
GACGAACGCUGGCGGCGUGCCUAACACAUGCAAGUCGAGCGAGGAACUUCGGUUCCUAGCGGCGGACGGGUGAGUAACACGUGGGUAACCUGGCUCAUAGAGGGGGAUAGCCUCCCGAAAGGGAGAUUAAUACCGCAUAAGAAGCGAAAGUCGCAUGGCUUUAGCUUUAAAGGAGUAAUCCGCUAUGAGAUGGGCCCGCGGCGCAUUAGCUAGUUGGUGAGGUAACGGCCCACCAAGGCGACGAUGCGUAGCCGACCUGAGAGGGUGAUCGGCCACAUUGGAACUGAGACACGGUCCAGACUCCUACGGGAGGCAGCAGUGGGGAAUAUUGCACAAUGGGCGAAAGCCUGAUGCAGCAACGCCGCGUGAGUGAUGACGGCCUUCGGGUUGUAAAGCUCUGUCUUUGGGGACGAUAAUGACGGUACCCAAGGAGGAAGCCACGGCUAACUACGUGCCAGCCGCCGCCGUAACAC